GGGUCUGAAUACUUCCCGAAUACUCUGUAUAUUUAAGUUAUUUUCCUUCAUUAUUUCCCCUCUAACCCUACCAUCCCUCCCCUAAUUGGAGUAAACUAAUAAACAACACUUAGGCUUCUACUUCCAGCUUAUACAAACUAUAUACAUUUUACGGACACAAUCUAUUUUACAAUAGUUAUAUUUUGUUUGUUUUUAGGCCCAUCCUUCAUCUCCACACAACCCCUCCCAUUCACCUGUCACGGCCGUUGUUGGUGGAAGAAGGCCCUCCACCAGCUGUACUAUGACCCAGACAUUGAGCAUAAGAACAGUGGCUGACUCAGGCCCAGAUCUCCCCUCAGGCCUGGCAGCUCUGCUGGCCUCCGCUCAGCCCAGACAAGCUUCCCGAAAUUCAGUUCUUUGGUGUCAGCAUCCUCAACAACAAGAUCUCCCUCCACUGGGCUGGCCUCACCACAGACCAGCACCACACCCACAUCUCCCACUUUUCAUCAGGGUCCAAGAUGGUGCUGACCAGGCUGUGUAUGGCCCUGGCCUCCCUGGCCUUCAACACCAUGCCUCAGGCCUGGCCCAAGGCUGUGGUUGACAUGGUCAGGGUCUUCCAUCCAGAGAAGGCUGGGGCUGGGGAUCAGGGUGGGGCUGGUGUUGUAGGUGGAGGAGAUGGAACGGAAGGGGAAGUGAACACCCACGCCCACUGCCCGGCCCUGCUGGAGCUCCUUACUGUGCUGCCAGAGGAGUUCCUGCCGGCUGCCAACGGCUUGUUGUGUCCAGCUGAGCGAGGUCCUGGCUGGGGAAUGGACAGCUGUGUCCCCUGCUGCACCAGUUGCUCCAGAGGCAGUAGACCCCCAGCCAGCUGAAGGAGCGGGCCCUGUGCUGCCUGUCCAGCUGUGUGGGACCGGAUGUUCCCCUGCAUGGGUAGAGCGAGGGUUGCUGAAGGACUGUUUCGCUGCUCUGUCCAACCCAAAGCUCUUCAACAUGGCCGUGGAGAUAUACAAUGCGGGGCCUGCACUUCCUCUUCUCUGUCCUCCCAGUAGAGGAGAUUCUGACCAGCCUGACCUCCCUUAUCAACCCUCACGUCCAGAGACUAGACACACUGGCACAUCAGGAGCCCAGCCCCACUACUAGCUAUGUAUCAUCCACAUGCUGGGCAUGCUGUCCAGUCUGUUCACUACGCUGGACAUCAGCAGGCAGGACCAGGGGUCACAGGGCACCACCCCAGCCCAGGCCAGACCCCAACCCUGUGAGUCUCCUCCCAACUCGGCCUUCCUCACUUUCUUUUGCCCUCUCUCUCUCCCACUUUCUCCCAUUCUCUGUCUCGGAACCUCUCUCACUACCCAGAACUAUUGUCAUCUUGUUGACUUUGUCUGUGCUCUGUCAGGUGGUGUUGGUCUUACAGCAGGUGUUCACAUUGAUCGAGACCAUCCUUAGUAAGUGGCUCAGACUCAGAAGUGGUGAAAGCAGUUGGAGGCCAGUCUCCCCUCUGUCUGACAGAGCACUUCUGAGGUGCUGUUCGGUCUGAACAAUGAAGUACCUAACGGCCCUGCUACACUAUAGCCAUCGGGCGGAAGGCAUUGCCAUCAGCCAUUGAGGAAAUGCUUCCUCUGAAAUCAAUGAAAGCUGCUUCACUGACCAUGUUGCGCUCACGUUGUGUCAUGUCCAAUGGCAGCAUCCAAGCUCAAGAAUCACUGAGGUUCAAUUCUUGAUGGUUGACGUGUGUGUUCAUUCUGUGAGUUGAAAUAACAAGUAAUAAAGUUGAU